CGGCAACUCAGAAACAUCAGGUCCAAG
rnacentral:piRNA from 1 species